rnacentral:rRNA from 1 species
UACGUAGGUGGCAAGCGUUGUCCGGAAUUAUUGGGCGUAAAGCGCGCGCAGGCGGUCCUUUAAGUCUGAUGUGAAAGCCCACGGCUCAACCGUGGAGGGUCAUUGGAAACUGGGGGACUUGAGUGCAGAAGAGGAGAGUGGAAUUCCACGUGUAGCGGUGAAAUGCGUAGAGAUGUGGAGGAACACCAGUGGCGAAGGCGACUCUCUGGGACGGUACUGACGCUGAGACGCGAAAGCGUGGGGAGCAAACAGG